GCAUGGCCGAAUUCUGCAUUACUCUAUCAUAGUUCUUGCAGUCAGACACUAUGCAAUAUCAACACACCUAUCCAACUCAAUAUGACAAUGAGAUCCUAAUCGUGAUCUUAUCAGUUUGAGGAAGGUGUACAAUC